CAGUAGCCGCGGGAAUACGAAGGGGGCUAGCGUUGUUCGGAUUAACUGGGCGUAAAGGGCGCGUAGGCGGAUUGCGCAGUCAGAUGUGAAAUUCCUGGGCUUAACCUGGGGGCUGCAUUUGAGACGCGUAGUCUAGAGUGUGAAAGAGGGUCGUGGAAUUCCCAGUGUAGAGGUGAAAUUCGUAGAUAUUGGGAAGAACACCGGUGGCGAAGGCGGCGACCUGGUUCAUAACUGACGCUGAGGCGCGAAAGCGUGGGGAGCAAACAGGAUUAGAUACCCCUGUAGUCCCUGUCUCUUAUAC
rnacentral:rRNA from 1 species